GGAUGUGAGGGCAAUCUAGCUGCAACAUUUGUCAUCCCAUUGACUGCCAGGAUUGAUUCAGCUGAUCUGGCUGGCUACGCGAGUGUCCCCUUCCUCCCUCACCACUCCAUGUGAUGUGCAUCCCUCGUGAAGCUACGCACUGGGUCAAAGAGGAUGACCAUCCCCGAGAGUAGGACCCAUCUUCAUUAAAGGGUAUACCAGUAUUGGCGCUCCUCUGAUAGAAUCUCCAAACAAAGAGCCAACUUCUCCUGCUAAAUGCCAUGCUGGUUGCAUUCCAGU
rnacentral:snRNA from 1 species